rnacentral:rRNA from 1 species
CGGGAGGCAGCAGUGGGGAAUUUUGGACAAUGGGGGCAACCCUGAUCCAGCCAUGCCGCGUGAGUGAAGAAGGCCUUCGGGUUGUAAAGCUCUUUCGGCCGGAACGAAAUCGCGUACGUGAAUAACGUGCGUGGAUGACGGUACUGGAAGAAGAAGCACCGGCUAACUACGUGCCAGCAGCCGCGGUAAUACGUAGGGUGCGAGCGUUAAUCGGAAUUACUGGGCGUAAAGCGUGCGCAGGCGGUUCUGCAAGUCAGAUGUGAAAUCCCCGGGCUUAACCUGGGAACUGCGUUUGAAACUACGGAGCUAGAGUACGGCAGAGGGGGGUGGAAUUCCACGUGUAACAGUGAAAUGCGUAGAUAUGUGGAGGAACACCGAUGGCGAAGGCAGCCCCCUGGGCCGAUACUGACGCUCAGGCACGAAAGCGUGGGGAGCAAACAGGAUUAGAUACCCUGGUAGUCCACGCCCUAAACUAUGUCAACUAGUUGUCGGGGAAGCAAUUCCUUGGUAACGAAGCUAACGCGUGAAGUUGACCGCCUGGGGAGUACGGUCGCAAGAUUAAAACUCAAAGGAAUUGACGG